GACGAACGCUGGCGGCGUGCUUAACACAUGCAAGUCGAGCGGUAAGGCCCUUUCGGGGGUACACGAGCGGCGAACGGGUGAGUAACACGUGGGUGACCUGCCCUCAGCUCUGGGAUAAGCCUGGGAAACCGGGUCUAAUACCGGAUAUGACUCCAUGACGCAUGUUGUGGGGUGGAAAGCCUUGUGCGGCUGAGGAUGGGCCCGCGGCCUAUCAGCUUGUUGGUGGGGNGAUGGCCUACCAAGGCGACGACGGGUAGCCGGCCUGAGAGGGCGACCGGCCACACUGGGACUGAGACACGGCCCAGACUCCUACGGGAGGCAGCAGUGGGGAAUCUUGCGCAAUGGGCGAAAGCCUGACGCAGCGACGCCGCGUGAGGGAUGACGGCCUCGGUGUAACGUACUUC
rnacentral:rRNA from 1 species